UACGGAGGGGGCAAGCGUUAUUCGGAAUUAUUGGGCGUAAAGGGCGCGUAGGCGGCUUUGUAAGUUAGAGGUGAAAGCCCGGAGCUCAACUCCGGAACUGCCUUUAAAACUGCAUCUCUUGAAUCCAGGAGAGGUGAGUGGAAUUCCGAGUGUAGAGGUGAAAUUCGUAGAUAUUCGGAAGAACACCAGUGGCGAAGGCGGCUCACUGGACUGGUAUUGACGCUGAGGUGCGAAAGCGUGGGGAGCAAACAGG
rnacentral:rRNA from 1 species